rnacentral:rRNA from 1 species
GGUUAAGCGACUAAGCGUACACGGUGGAUGCCCUGGCAGUCAGAGGCGAUGAAGGACGUGCUAAUCUGCGAAAAGCGUCGGUAAGGUGAUAUGAACCGUUAUAACCGGCGAUGUCCGAAUGGGGAAACCCAGUGCAAUUCGUUGCACUAUCGUUAACUGAAUACAUAGGUUAACGAGGCGAACCGGGGGAACUGAAACAUCUAAGUACCCCGAGGAAAAGAAAUCAACCGAGAUUCCCCCAGUAGCGGCGAGCGAACGGGGAGCAGCCCAGAGUCUGAAUCAGCUUGUGUGUUAGUGGAACGGUCUGGAAAGUCCGACGGUACAGGGUGAUAGUCCCGUACACCAAAAUGCACAGGUUGUGAACUCGAAGAGUAGGGCGGGACACGUGGUAUCCUGUCUGAAUAUGGGGGGACCAUCCUCCAAGGCUAAAUACUCCUGACUGACCGAUAGUGAACCAGUACCGUGAGGGAAAGGCGAAAAGAACCCCGGCGAGGGGAGUGAAAAAGAACCUGAAACCGUGUACGUACAAGCAGUGGGAGCACCUUCGGGUGUGACUGCGUACCUUUUGUAUAAUGGGUCAGCGACUUAUAUUCUGUAGCAAGGUUAACCGUAUAGGGGAGCCGCAGGGAAACCGAGUCUUAACUGGGCGUUAAGUUGCAGGGUAUAGACCCGAAACCCGGUGAUCUAGCCAUGGGCAGGUUGAAGGUUGGGUAACACUAACUGGAGGACCGAACCGACUAAUGUUGAAAAAUUAGCGGAUGACUUGUGGCUGGGGGUGAAAGGCCAAUCAAACCGGGAGAUAGCUGGUUCUCCCCGAAAGCUAUUUAGGUAGCGCCUCGUGAACUCAUCUUCGGGGGUAGAGCACUGUUUCGGCUAGGGGGUCAUCCCGACUUACCAACCCGAUGCAAACUACGAAUACCGAAGAAUGUUAUCACGGGAGACACACGGCGGGUGCUAACGUCCGUCGUGAAGAGGGAAACAACCCAGACCGCCAGCUAAGGUCCCAAAGUCACAGUUAAGUGGGAAACGAUGUGGGAAGGCACAGACAGCCAGGAUGUUGGCUUAGAAGCAGCCAUCAUUUAAAGAAAGCGUAAUAGCUCACUGGUCGAGUCGGCCUGCGCGGAAGAUGUAACGGGGCUAAACUGUGCACCGAAGCUGCGGCAGCGACACUAUGUGUUGUUGGGUAGGGGAGCGUUCUGUAAGCCUGCGAAGGUGGCCUGUGAGGGUUGCUGGAGGUAUCAGAAGUGCGAAUGCUGACAUAAGUAACGAUAAUGCGGGUGAAAAGCCCGCACGCCGGAAGACCAAGGGUUCCUGUCCAACGUUAAUCGGGGCAGGGUGAGUCGACCCCUAAGGCGAGGCCGAAAGGCGUAGUCGAUGGGAAACAGGUUAAUAUUCCUGUACUUGGUGUUACUGCGAAGGGGGGACGGAGAAGGCUAUGUUAGCCGGGCGACGGUUGUCCCGGUUUAAGCAUGUAGGCGGAGGUUCCAGGUAAAUCCGGUACCUUUUAACGCUGAGGUGUGAUGACGAGGCACUACGGUGCUGAAGUAACAAAUGCCCUGCUUCCAGGAAAAGCCUCUAAGCAUCAGGUAACAUUGAAUCGUACCCCAAACCGACACAGGUGGUCAGGUAGAGAAUACCAAGGCGCUUGAGAGAACUCGGGUGAAGGAACUAGGCAAAAUGGUGCCGUAACUUCGGGAGAAGGCACGCUGAUAUGUAGGUGAAGCCCCUGCGGGUGGAGCUGAAAUCAGUCGAAGAUACCAGCUGGCUGCAACUGUUUAUUAAAAACACAGCACUGUGCAAACACGAAAGUGGACGUAUACGGUGUGACGCCUGCCCGGUGCCGGAAGGUUAAUUGAUGGGGUUAUCCGUAAGGAGAAGCUCUUGAUCGAAGCCCCGGUAAACGGCGGCCGUAACUAUAACGGUCCUAAGGUAGCGAAAUUCCUUGUCGGGUAAGUUCCGACCUGCACGAAUGGCGUAAUGAUGGCCAGGCUGUCUCCACCCGAGACUCAGUGAAAUUGAACUCGCUGUGAAGAUGCAGUGUACCCGCGGCAAGACGGAAAGACCCCGUGAACCUUUACUAUAGCUUGACACUGAACAUUGAGCCUUGAUGUGUAGGAUAGGUGGGAGGCUUUGAAGCGUGGACGCCAGUCUGCGUGGAGCCAACCUUGAAAUACCACCCUUUAAUGUUUGAUGUUCUAACGUUGGCCCCUUAUCGGGGUUGCGGACAGUGUCUGGUGGGUAGUUUGACUGGGGCGGUCUCCUCCCAAAGAGUAACGGAGGAGCACGAAGGUUAGCUAAUCCUGGUCGGACAUCAGGAGGUUAGUGCAAUGGCAUAAGCUAGCUUGACUGCGAGCGUGACGGCGCGAGCAGGUGCGAAAGCAGGUCAUAGUGAUCCGGUGGUUCUGAAUGGAAGGGCCAUCGCUCAACGGAUAAAAGGUACUCCGGGGAUAACAGGCUGAUACCGCCCAAGAGUUCAUAUCGACGGCGGUGUUUGGCACCUCGAUGUCGGCUCAUCACAUCCUGGGGCUGAAGUAGGUCCCAAGGGUAUGGCUGUUCGCCAUUUAAAGUGGUACGCGAGCUGGGUUUAGAACGUCGUGAGACAGUUCGGUCCCUAUCUGCCGUGGGCGCUGGAGAAUUGAGGGGGGCUGCUCCUAGUACGAGAGGACCGGAGUGGACGCAUCACUGGUGUUCGGGUUGUCAUGCCAAUGGCAUUGCCCGGUAGCUAAAUGCGGAAGAGAUAAGUGCUGAAAGCAUCUAAGCACGAAACUUGCCCCGAGAUGAGUUCUCCCUGAGACUUUAAGUCUCCUGAAGGAACGUUAAAGACGAUGACGUUGAUAGGUCGGGUGUGUAAGCGUAGCGAUACGUUGAGCUAACCGAUACUAAUGAACCGUGAGGCUUAACCUU